AAAAAAAAAAGGUAAAUAAUAGGGAUAAGUAGUACUCCCUCCGUCCCACCCAGCAUGACCCAGUUUUCUUUUUAGUUUAUUCCACGAAACUUGACCUGUUUCUAAAAAUGGCAAAAAUAAUUCCUUUAUUAACCUUUUCACUUUUUCACCUACCACACAUAACACACAAAAUAUCAAUUUCUUAAUUUUCGUGCCAAAAAGAAAUGAGUCAUGCUUCAUGGGAUGGAGGGAGUAGUGUUAAAUAAUUAAUUACAUAUAAAAAACAUUUCUAGUUCGAAAAAUAAAUACCUUAUAUAUGUAGAGCUAUCCACUGCAUACUUCAAUAGAAUUGAUAACUUUUGAGUUAAUUUGUCACACGAAAUAGAAUUCUGUAGACAUGAAGCAAUCAUAUUAAUAGGGUUGCUUCACGCGAAAGCCAUAAAAAUAGUAUACAAAACCUUUACUAGGGAAAAAAGCAUUAUAGGAUAUGAAAUUUGAGUGAUGGGAGUCAACAAAUUUAGUCAAUUUCUCCAACUGCCCUAAAACCUUUCCCUUCACUGUUUGGUCAAAUAGAGAAUUUUCUUUUAUCAGUUUCCAAGCAACAUCACUUGGUAUUACUAUAUUUUUUUCCAAAUGCCGCCAUAAAAAAUCAUUGUUUAAAAAUGAGAGUUUAAAGUUGUUAAGUUUCUUUAUGUUGAAUAUGGAUGGAAGGAUUGCGAUUUUGAGGGUUAAUCUGAGAAAUAUAUUAAACAUAUGAUAUUUUUACAUUAGUCUGAUCAAUUCCACCGUCAUGAUUACAGUAGUUUAGUUUAAGAACUUAAAAUUGUUAAUAAGCCAAGAUUAUUUAGCCAAUCAAAUAAUUCCAUCAUAAUCAUUCCAUUUGAUCUUAUAUUUCGCACAAAAGAUAGAAUAAGAAAUAGAGUACGAAAUAGACUUUCAUACUAAUAAAAUCCAAAAUUUUGUUUAUGCUUCGACUAAGUGAGUUUUAGUUUGACUGCCAAGCAAGAAAUAAAAAAAGCUACCUACCUUCUGACAAGAACUUUGAAUUCUGGUCACUGAUUGAUGCCAAGAACGUGUUUGUGAUGGCAAUGUUUCUAAGAAAAACUCAUUAAAUGCAUUUUAUUCCUUAGAAAAAAAUUUGUCAUUUUCCUAAUUUUCUAUGAAUUACAAAGUUAUUCUUACUUCUCACAGUGGCUAUUAAAGAGUCAAAGAAGGCGGUGAAAUGCGAUUUUUGUGACAGAUCAAAUGCAUAGCUUACUUGUUCAUCCUAGCUAGAAUUGAAUUUUAGAUAUUAAUUUCAAUGCACGUUAGUGUUACUUUCAUGUAAAUUAAAUUCAACUAAGAGAUACAAAUGCACGUGACACCGAUCUCCAUGUUUUCAACUUGUUGAAAAACUAUAACAUAUUCCGCAUAUAUAUCUUAGAUGCGACACCCUACAGUAGUCAAUGUCAUAUGAUAAUAAUAANAAAAAUGUAGCAAUGUAAAUAAAAAUAUGAAAAUACUAUAGUCAUUUUUUACUUAAAUACUAUAUAUUUUUUCACAAAAAACAAUAUUAUUUACACUGUUACACAAAAAAUUAAUUUGUGUAGAUCAUAUAAGUGCAUACUAGUAAAAAAUAGCUACGUUACUAUUUAUACAUUUUUUUAUCUACAUACAUAGAAUUUCCUUUCGCUAUAUGCGAAAAGUAGAAUUGGAUAUUGUCUUUAUAUCUUGUCAUCCAACUUUACUUUUACAAUGAAUGAGUAACAAUGGAAUGUCCAACUUAUAAAAAAAAUAUAUAUAUAAAUUUUAAUUUUUGAUUUAGGGUUACAUGUGAAUUAUUAUAACCAACACGAACCCCAAAUUUGUUGGCUUCAGUCUAAUGCGACGUGACGUUUAUUAUAUUUAAGCGAAAUAUUUAAUUUGAUGAUCCCAAAAGGUAGUUUGGUGUGGACUGUGGAGCCUUAGACCAUGUUUAUCGGGUAGAAUUUGAGGGACCAGGUCGACCUCUUGUGGAAAAAAAAAAGAAACAAUUCAAAGUGGUCACAAAGAGGUGGUCGACCAACAUAAAAAUCGGACCUCCCUUGGUCUCUCUCUCUCUUCAAAUUUAAUGUAUUGAUGUCAUGACACUUGUAAUAAUAUUAUUGGUGGAGUGGAUUUUAUUUAGAUAAUUGAUAAAAAUCAUUAUAUCUUUUAUAUAAAAUAUCAAAAAAAUAAAAAACUUAUACCAAAAUUUAUAUUUUUUCAUUCUCUAUAAAUAGAGACCACUCUUGGUAUAUUUCAAUACACCUUCAAAUUCUCUCAUUUAUCAUCUCUACAUAUAACUUCUAUUAUUUGCUUCUCUAUUUUUCAAUGAUUGCUUGCAUCAUCAUGCAUAAUAUGAUAGUGGAAGAUGAAAGAAGCACUUACCUUAACUAUCAUGAUCCUACAGAAUUCAUCGAAGAUCGACUAAGACAGAAUACUCGUCGAAGUGAAGAUGAAGAAGAAACUAAUGAUUUCGUAUACUCUACGAAUAGGAUUGCAAGCCUAGCGAGCUAUAUGAGAACUAGGUCCCAACUUCGCAAUCGAGAAGAUCACAGCUCUCUAUUACACGACUUGAUCGAGCAUAUAUGGCAAAAGUUUGGAGAUGAUAAUUAAAUGCGUAGUAUGUAUUUUUUUUUUUCUAUUUCGAGUUUGGAUUGUUGUAAUUUAUAUUUUUAGUUUGUCGUAAUUUAAAUUUUUAUUAUUUUGUUAUUUUUUUAAAUUUUUUUAUAAUAUAUUAAUUUAUAUUUAAUAUUAUUAAAAUUAUUACGAUUAAAAAUAAUAAUAAAAUAAUUAUAAAAUUAUGUUGUGGUUGAGUGGUUGGAUGGUUGGGGUGGUCAUUGAUAAAUGAACAAAAAUAGAGGUGGUUGGGUUGGAUGAAUAUUAGUGAUGUAGAAGAGAGAUAAAGUAAUUAAAUAUUAAAGAUGGUUGGAUGGUUGGGUGGUUGGAUGGUUGCUGAUAAACAUGGUCUUAGUGUUGGUUUGAGACAGGCAUUAAAAUGUUAGCUGCCUAUAGCGAAUUGUGAGUUUGUACGUAUUUUAUGUUAAUCAAUUGAUACAAUAAUUGAACUCCAUCGUUUCUCAUAAUUGUGAAUACUUUAAAGUUUCAACUCCAUCGUUUUUAGGUUCCGUUUUCUUUAAUAAAAUUUCAAUUCAGCAUAAUUGUGAAUACUUUAUAUAAUCUGACUUUAUCUGCGGUCCAAAAUCCAAAAUUGGAAAGCCGACAGGAAAGCGUUUGAUUUACAUUCGCAAAUCGCAAAGCUUAUUUAACUAUCAUUAGAGUGUAAUGUGAAAGUGCGAUCGAAUUUAUUCUUGAGGAUUUUGUAAUAAAUUUCAAACCCUCCAAAUAGUUAUGCAUUUAUGGCGAAUAAGAAUAUGGAGUGUUAUUUAUAGGACCAUCCCACAAAGAAAUUCGGCAAUGAAAUUAAAUAUCGUUCGUGGAAUUUUUGACAUAAAGAGAUUUGCAUGCCACUAAAAAUGGGAGCCAUCUGUAUCCAUAAUUAAUUCCUUGGGUAUAAACUCAAUGUGAUUAUGACAGCCUUUGGGGUCGAGGGUUCUUGUGAAUCUCCCUUUCAAGCAUUUUCAUCAUGAAUUAAUGACACAUGUAUGUAUGAGUAUUUAUUAAAUUUAUUUUACAAUAAAUCUAUGCAUGCAGCCAUGCACAUUGUAGCCGCCCACAAUUUAAUUCAAUAGGAAAAAUUUCAAUUUAUUUAUUUUUUUUAAAAUAGGAUUUAAUUAUUUUAUUGUAUUUUCUACAUUGUAGCUAUUUUUUGUAACUUUGUUUACAUCUUUUAUUUUUAAUAAAAAAUAAAAAAGUUACAAAAAAUUAUUAAAUUAAAAAUAACUACAAACCUUAUUUUAAUUUUAAAAAACAAGUUAAAUAAAUUAAUCUUUUUUCUAUUUAAAUAAUUUAUGGGUGGCCACAACGUGAUAUUUAGCAUCACUAUUUAUUUUAACGUGAUAUUUAGCAUCACUAGCUAUAAUUAACUACUCCCUCCGUCCCACCAUUUUAGUCCCCUCCCACUUUUCACACAUAUUAAGAAAAUGCAUUUAAUUUUUAUAUUUUUAUCUUUUAUACCCUUAUUUAUUAUUUUCACACAUCCUUUUCACAUUUAAGUGAAGCAUUAAAUAAGGUUAAUUUAGUAAAAACAAUAUUUUUAUAUAGUAUUAAUUAAAAAAGUGGACUAUCUUUUUGGGACAUCUCAAAAUGAAAUAAGGGACUAAAAUGGUGGGACGGAUGGAGUACUUCAUUAAAUUCAACACUCUGCUGUACACACACACACGUACAAACUAGCGCAUUAAUGGUGGGACGGUGAUUAUUUGAAUAUGUUUUGCUUUAUGAUGAUUUUAGAUCUUGUAUUUACAAUUAGUGAAUAAAUUUCACUUAAUUUUAGGUAGUAACUGAUAAAUUAUAGAGUAGACUAUAGACAAUGGGCAAAAGCGUACAAGUAUUUGUAAUUAAGUGGGCGUCGGGUGCCUAAGACAAAAUAGACCGGAUUUUGCGAAAGAAUUAAUAUUGAAUAUUCCACCAAAAUUCUUGAAGGUUUAAUCUGACGAAUAAGGUAUAAUCUAUACAUUCACUAAAUAGUAAAUACUUUGAAAAGUUAGUAUUUAGGUCACUAAACCGACAUUAUAACGACAGGAGGAAAAAGUCGGAAAAACGCGUCUUCUUUUACCUUUACAUCUUCACCUUUCUCAUUCUUGCAAUCUAGCCAUCUAUAGGCUAAUAUUAUUUUUAUUUUAUUAAAAAAGAAGCAUAUAUGAAUGUACAGUUAUAGAAAAAAGUGAAUCCAAAUUAAUUCAGGCAACACAAAUUUUAGUGAGGACUAUGACAAAAGAGCCCACACAUAUUAAAAAAGUGUGGGUCCAUGAAUAGUUAUAGACGGACGAAAAUAAGAAAUAGAAAUAUAUUUUCGGGGACGGAGCAAGUAUAAAAUAAAGCGUAACACUAUUUAAUAGCUCUGGUGUGAAUAUAGUCAUAAUACGAGUAUAUAUUUUGUGAUUGUUUAACAUUUGUACAGUGUACGUACUUCUGACUUAGUUGAUUAAUGCAUCAAUUAACGAUAUAACCUGCCUCAACAAUUAACAGAUUAUAUUAAAAUUAAGGUCUUAUUUAUUCCCCUUGGGAGAUUACAUGCAAUUAAUGCGCAUGAGAUACUAAUUGCCCCGAGUUUUGUCACGGUUAAGCAAUAUACGUGUCGCUAAUUACAAGAAUAUCUGAGAUUAAUAAAGAAUAAUAAAAAAAAAUUAUUUGGCUUCGAAACAUUAAGCCCCCGUGCACAUAUUCCGCAGCAAAAUGCUACGGACAAAUCUAGUUUAGACUGUCUCAAUUUUUUUGUAUAGUUUCAUAGUGUAUUUCAUAUAAUAAGAUAACGUUAGCAUGUGACAAAUAAUUCCAACAAGAAAAUAUGACUGAAUUUUUCAUUGAGAUACCAUUUCAAUUAGCAAAUACUAUGAUUUUGAUACAUUGGACCUACUCAUGAUAUGAACAACAAGGAUCGACAAGUAGCAUCAAGAAGAUGCAAUAGUGGAAGGAUAUAAUUAAAUUGAAUAAAUCGAAAAAAAAAGAAAGAAAUAGAAUAAGAAACUAUCAACCUAAAUCAAAUUCUAUACAUGAAUUCACAUGUGUAAUUAUCUAAUCUAGCGACUCAUGAACAAGGCUUUUUGCCCACAAAUUAAAAGAAUUCAAAAUUGUGAAGGGAUCAAUAUAAUAUUAUAAAUUAAAAAUAUAUAUAUAGUGGGAUUCUAGUGGCCAACUCCGGGGCUGGGGACGGAGCGCAGAAUCCGAUCGAGGGCGGCGAGGUGGCGGGCGAUGAGCUUUUGGUCAAAGGUGGCGGCGUGGCCUCUCUUGCUGGGGGCGGACGCCGCCACCUUCCCCUUCGGAAGCGCCGCCAGAUACAAGCUGUCUGCCGCAGAUGGAAUAUUGCUGUGUUCCACCUUCAUCAAUAGCUUUCUUCCGUGUGCACACGACACCAAACUGCAAAGUAUGAGCAUGCCCAAUCACAAAUACUACACCUUUUAGAGCCAUUUAUGUUGCAAUUAUGGCAACAAACUUCUUCUUCUUCUAGAGAGAGAUAUAAAGAGAGAGAGAGAGAGAGAUUUUGAUUGGGAGGGAGGAGGAGUUUGUAGGGAUUGGAGGAUGUAUAUAUAGAGAAAGUGGGAACUU
rnacentral:lncRNA from 1 species